GCUUCGAGGUGACCCGGCGGCGUCCUGCCAACGGGUUGAAACGGGAAGCCGGUGACGCCGCGGCGCAUGCCACGGCCAGCCCGGCACUGCCCCCGCAACGGUAAGCGAGUGGAUCCGCGCAGGCGGGUCCGGCCCGGGCCACCGCCACUGUGCAACCGCAUGGGAAGGCGCCCCGGUCGUGUCGACGACACCCUCGCGAGUCCGGAGACCGGCCGCGGAGCUGACUGGUUG
rnacentral:ncRNA from 2 species